rnacentral:rRNA from 1 species
UACGUAGGCAGCAAGCGUUGUUCGGAGUUACUGGGCGUAAAGGGUGUGUAGGCGGUUGUUUAAGUUUGGUGUGAAAUCUCCCGGCUCAACUGGGAGGGUGCGCCGAAUACUGAAUGACUAGAGUGCGGGAGAGGAAAGUGGAAUUCCUGGUGUAGCGGUGAAAUGCGUAGGUAUCAGGAGGAACACCGGUGGUGUAGACGGCUUUCUGGACCGUAACUGACGCUGAUGCACGAAAGCUAGGGGAGCAAACAGG